AACGAACGCUGGCGGCAGGCUUAACACAUGCAAGUCGAACGAAGCCUUCGGGCUUAGUGGCGGACGGGUGAGUAACGCGUGGGAACGUGCCCUUUGCUACGGAAUAGCCCCGGGAAACUGGGUUUAAUACCGUAUAUUCUCUCCGGAGGAAAGAUUUAUCGGCAAAGGAUCGGCCCGCGUUGGAUUAGGUAGUUGGUGGGGUAAUGGCCUACCAAGCCCGCGAUCCAUAGCUGGUUUGAGAGGAUGAUCAGCCACACUGGGACUGAGACACGGCCCAGACUCCUACGGGAGGCAGCAGUGGGGAAUCUUAGACAAUGGGGGAAACCCUGAUCUAGCCAUGCCGCGUGAGCGAUGAAGGCCUUAGGGUUGUAAAGCUCUUUCGCUGGGGAAGAUAAUGACGGUACCCAGUAAAGAAGCCCCGGCUAACUCCGUGCCAGCAGCCGCGGUAAUACGGAGGGGGCUAGCGUUGUUCGGAAUUACUGGGCGUAAAGCGCGCGUAGGCGGAUUGGAAAGUUGGGGGUGAAAUCCCGGGGCUCAACCCCGGAACUGC
rnacentral:rRNA from 1 species